rnacentral:rRNA from 1 species
ACUCAAAGGAAUAGACGGGGGCCCGCACAAGCGGUGGAGCAUGUGGUUUAAUUCGACGCAACGCGAAGAACCUUACCCAGGCUCGAAAUGCAGAUGAUCGACGGCGAAAGUCGUUUUCCGCAAGGACAUCUGUAUAGGUGCUGCAUGGCUGUCGUCAGCUCGUGUCGUGAGAUGUUGGGUUAAGUCCCGCAACGAGCGCAACCCUUAUCUGCUGUUGCCAUCAGGUCAAGCUGGGCACUCUGCGGAGACUGCCGGUGAUAAACCGGAGGAAGGUGGGGAUGACGUCAAGUCAGCAUGGCCUUUAUGUCUGGGGCUACACACGUGCUACAAUGGCCGAUACAAAGCGUCGCGAUCCCGCGAGGGGGAGCUAAUCGCAGAAAGUCGGUCUCAGUUCGGAUUGUAGGCUGCAACUCGCCUGCAUGAAGUUGGAAUCGCUAGUAAUCGCAGAUCAGCAGGCUGCGGUGAAUACGUUCCCGGGCCUUGUACACACCGCCCGU